GGAAGAGGUGUGUGGGACCAGAAAUAAGCAUGGCAAGAGGAGCAAAAACUCUCUUCAGCUGUGAUUGCCACCCAACUGCUGAGGAACUGAAUCAUACACUUGUUGAAGUUGGAAAAGACCACUGGAGAACAUGUAGUCCAACCCCCUCUGCCAAGGCAGAGUCACCCAGAGCAGGUGACACAGGCACAAGUCCAGUCUUCUCCUCUCUAGACUAAACAGUCCCAGCUCCCAAAGUCUCUCCUCAUCUGAGAGAUGCUCCAAACCCGUAAUCAUCUUUGUGGACCUCCUCUGUACCCUCUCCAGUAGCUCCUUGUCCUCCUUGAACUGUGGAGACCAGAACUGAACACAAUACUCCAGCCAACCAAGAUUCCACUGAAUGGCAGCCCAGCUUUUAGGUGAAUUUGGAGCCAUUCCUUCUCCACAAAGGAAAAGGAAGCAUCCACAAC